UACGUAGGUGACCAGCGUUGUCCGGAUUUACUGGGCGUAAAGAGCGCGCAGGCGGUCGUUCAAGUCGAGUGUGAAAGCCCCCGGCUCAACUGGGGAGGGUCAUUCGAUACUGAUCGACUCGAAGGCAGGAGAGGGAAGCGGAAUUCCCGGCGUAGUGGUGAAAUGCGUAGAUAUCGGGAGGAACACCAGUGGCGAAGGCGGCUUCCUGGCCUGUUCUUGACGCUGAGGCGCGAAAGCUAGGGGAGCAAACGGG
rnacentral:rRNA from 1 species